rnacentral:lncRNA from 1 species
AUAAAUCAUCUCUUAAAUUAAAAUCAAUUAAUCUCUUUAUACAAAAGAGUUAUCUUGUUUCAUGGAAACAUUUAUGGAGAAUAAUAUAAAAACCUUUAGUAAAAGAAAAACACCCUUUUUUGGAUUAUCUAGGACCGAUCACUCCUCUCUAACUAUGACCAUUCCUCCCAAAAAUCGUCCUAAAACCUUCUUGUGCUCUCUGAUGAUAGCAAGUUGCUUUUCCUGUUCGUAAAUAAUCAAACCUACGAAUGGUAAUCCCAUUGCCAUGAUUAGAUCUGUAACACCCUCGGGAGUUGACCACAUCGAUUUCACAUAUCUUGCUACCGCACCCACCACCAUGACUGGAUUUCUAACUGUAAUUAACUGCUCUUACGAAAAGAAUAAACAUAAACAUAUAUUAUAGUCAAUACCUAAAUCGGAUGAUAAUAUAUGCUAAACAGAGAGAAAGAGCAAAAUAUAUCAAGUCCAAAGGAAGAAUCUACACAAUCAAAAUUUAUUAAAGAGAGAGAACCUGACAGGUCAGGGCAAAGUGGUUCCCGA